rnacentral:rRNA from 1 species
CGGGACACGUGGUAUCCUGUCUGAAUAUGGGGGGACCAUCCUCCAAGGCUAAAUACUCCUGACUGACCGAUAGUGAACCAGUACCGUGAGGGAAAGGCGAAAAGAACCCCGGCGAGGGGAGUGAAAAAGAACCUGAAACCGUGUACGUACAAGCAGUGGGAGCACAGAGCAAUCUGUGUGACUGCGUACCUUUUGUAUAAUGGGUCAGCGACUUAUAUUCUGUAGCAAGGUUAACCGAAUAGGGGAGCCGAAGGGAAACCGAGUCUUAACUGGGCGUUAAGUUGCAGGGUAUAGACCCGAAACCCGGUGAUCUAGCCAUGGGCAGGUUGAAGGUUGGGUAACACUAACUGGAGGACCGAACCGACUAAUGUUGAAAAAUUAGCGGAUGACUUGUGGCUGGGGGUGAAAGGCCAAUCAAACCGGGAGAUAGCUGGUUCUCCCCGAAAGCUAUUUAGGUAGCGCCUCGUGAAUUCAUCUCCGGGGGUAGAGCACUGUUUCGGCAAGGGGGUCAUCCCGACUUACCAACCCGAUGCAAACUGCGAAUACCGGAGAAUGUUAUCACGGGAGACACACGGCGGGUGCUAACGUCCGUCGUGAAGAGGGAAACAACCCAGACCGCCAGCUAAGGUCCCAAAGUCAUGGUUAAGUGGGAAACGAUGUGGGAAGGCCCAGACAGCCAGGAUGUUGGCUUAGAAGCAGCCAUCAUUUAAAGAAAGCGUAAUAGCUCACUGGUCGAGUCGGCCUGCGCGGAAGAUGUAACGGGGCUAAACCAUGCACCGAAGCUGCGGCAGCGACGCUUAUGCGUUGUUGGGUAGGGGAGCGUUCUGUAAGCCUGCGAAGGUGUGCUGUGAGGCAUGCUGGAGGUAUCAGAAGUGCGAAUGCUGACAUAAGUAACGAUAAAGCGGGUGAAAAGCCCGCUCGCCGGAAGACCAAGGGUUCCUGUCCAACGUUAAUCGGGGCAGGGUGAGUCGACCCCUAAGGCGAGGCCGAAAGGCGUAGUCGAUGGGAAACAGGUUAAUAUUCCUGUACUUGGUGUUACUGCGAAGGGGGGACGGAGAAGGCUAUGUUGGCCGGGCGACGGUUGUCCCGGUUUAAGCGUGUAGGCUGGUUUUCCAGGCAAAUCCGGAAAAUCAAGGCUGAGGCGUGAUGACGAGGCACUACGGUGCUGAAGCAACAAAUGCCCUGCUUCCAGGAAAAGCCUCUAAGCAUCAGGUAACAUCAAAUCGUACCCCAAACCGACACAGGUGGUCAGGUAGAGAAUACCAAGGCGCUUGAGAGAACUCGGGUGAAGGAACUAGGCAAAAUGGUGCCGUAACUUCGGGAGAAGG